rnacentral:lncRNA from 1 species
GGGAAGAUCUUGAUCACCAAAUGGAGAAACUAAGCUUUCAACGUAAAUAUUGCUUGGUAAUAUUAUUUCAUCAACUCGGUACAUGCGCGACUUACUUUUGUAAUUAUAAACAACAAUGAUCGAUACACCAAAAGCCACUCCAAUAUCCCCAUUCUUGUUCAACCAUAGUGGCUUUGGUCUUGGACCAUUGAUAUACCUCUUCGGAUGAGCAAAAUCAGAAAGUGUCCAAAUC